CAUUAGAUGGCUGAAAGCAAGUACUGGUCUCUUAAACCAUUUAAUAGUAAGUUAGUGUUUACUUCUAAUG
rnacentral:tRNA from 1 species